rnacentral:rRNA from 1 species
GAUGAACGCUAGCGGGAGGCCUAACACAUGCAAGCCGAGCGGUAUUUCUUCUUCGGGAGAGAGAGAGCGGCGUACGGGUGCGGAACACGUGUGCAACCUGCCUUUAUCUAGAGGAUAGCCUUUCGAAAGGAAGAUUAAUACUCUAUAAUAUAUUAAUUGGCAUCAAUUGAUAUUGAAAACUCCGGUGGAUAGAGAUGGGCACGCGCAAGAUUAGCUAGUUGGUGAGGUAACGGCUCACCAAGGCAAUGAUCUUUAGGGGGCCUGAGAGGGUGAUCCCCCACACUGGUACUGAGACACGGACCAGACUCCUACGGGAGGCAGCAGUAAGGAAUAUUGGUCAAUGGGUGCAAGCCUGAACCAGCCAUCCCGCGUGAAGGAUUAAGGUCCUAUGGAUUGUAAACUUCUUUUGUAUAGGGAUAAACCUACCCUCGUGAGGGUAGCUGAAGGUACUAUACGAAUAAGCACCGGCUAACUCCGUGCCAGCCGCCGUAAUAC